rnacentral:rRNA from 1 species
AUGGUGCGCUGGACGGAGAUGUGCAAGCCUAAGGACCAUGGCGGCCUGGGCAUCAUGUCAUCCAAACGGAUGAACAUUGCCCUAUUGACCCGGUGGGUGUGGCGCAUAGCCAAUGGGGACGGUGGCCUAUGGCUCCAUAUCAUCCGAAACAAAUACCUAGGUGGCCGACCCCUUGCGUUUUGUCAGCGGUCCGGUGGCUCCCAGUUCUGGCAAUCCGUCAUCUAG